UACAGAGGGUGCUAGCGUUGUUCGGAAUCAUUGGGCGUAAAGGGCGUGUAGGCGGUUUGUUAAGUCAUGUGUGAAAUCCCUCGGCUCAACCGGGGAACGACGCAUGAAACUGGCAGCUAGAGUACCAAAGAGGGGGGUGGAAUUCCUGGUGUAGCGGUGAAAUGCGCAGAUAUCAGGAGGAACACCCGUGGCGAAAGCGGCUCUCUGGGACGGUACUGACGCUGAGACGCGAAAGCGUGGGGAGCAAACAGG
rnacentral:rRNA from 1 species